CACGUAGGCGGAUCGGUAAGUCAGAUGUGAAAUCCCGGAGCUCAACUCCGGAACUGCAUUUGAUACUGCCAGUCUUGAGUGAGGUAGAGGGGGGUGGAAUUCCCGGUGUAGGGGUGAAAUUCGUAGAUAUCGGGAGGAACACCAGAGGCGAAGGCGACCCCCUGGGCCUUUACUGACGCUGAGGUGCGAAAGCGUGGGGAGCAAACA
rnacentral:rRNA from 1 species